AUUGAACGCUGGCGGCAUGCCUAACACAUGCAAGUCGAACGCGAAAGUCCUUCGGGCGGAGUAGAGUGGCGGACGGGUGAGUAAUGCGUGGGAAUCUACCUCGUAGUGGGGGACAACCCGGGAAACUCGGGCUAAUACCGCAUACGUUCUAUGGAAGAAAGGGGCCUCUGCUUGCAAGCUCUCGCUAUGGGAUGAGCCCACGUCCGAUUAGCUAGUUGGUGGGGUAAAGGCCUACCAAGGCGACGAUCGGUAGCUGGUCUGAGAGGAUGACCAGCCACACUGGGACUGAGACACGGCCCAGACUCCUACGGGAGGCAGCAGUGGGGAAUAUUGGACAAUGGGCGCAAGCCUGAUCCAGCAAUGCCGCGUGUGUGAAGAAGGCCUGCGGGUUGUAAAAGCACUUUUCAGUGGGGAGGAAAAGCCUGGGGGUGAAUAUCCCUGGGUCUUGACGUUACCUACAGAAGAAGCACCGGUCUAACUCCGUGCCAGCAGCCGUCGGUAAAAGU
rnacentral:rRNA from 1 species